UUGAGCUUGAUCCCUGGCUCAGAUUGAACGCUGGCGGCAGGCCUAACACAUGCAAGUCGAGCGGUAGAGAGAAGCUUGCUUCUCUUGAGAGCGGCGGACGGGUGAGUAAUGCCUAGGAAUCUGCCUGGUAGUGGGGGAUAACGCUCGGAAACGGACGCUAAUACCGCAUACGUCCUACGGGAGAAAGCAGGGGACCUUCGGGCCUUGCGCUAUCAGAUGAGCCUAGGUCGGAUUAGCUAGUUGGUGAGGUAAUGGCUCACCAAGGCGACGAUCCGUAACUGGUCUGAGAGGAUGAUCAGUCACACUGGAACUGAGACACGGUCCAGACUCCUACGGGAGGCAGCAGUGGGGAAUAUUGGACAAUGGGCGAAAGCCUGAUCCAGCCAUGCCGCGUGUGUGAAGAAGGUCUUCGGAUUGUAAAGCACUUUAAGUUGGGAGGAAGGGCAGUAAAUUAAUACUUUGCUGUUUUGACGUUACCGACAGAAUAAGCACCGGCUAACU
rnacentral:rRNA from 1 species